GGGUGAGGCUGAGCGCUGGGACCGGGGUCUGUAAGGAUGUAUCGGCACUACGUGCAGCAUCUGAUUUACUCCGUGAUUCUGAUGCUUAUCAACAACGCGUGAAGAUUGCAACGAGGAUCCUCCCUGGAAGGCGAGGAGGAGUGACUUCCAGGGGGCUGGGAGGAGGUGGAGUGCAGCUCUCGCCUAUAAGGAGGUGCCCAGCGCCCGGUGCCGCUUCCAGCCGCAGCUCGCGAGGCGCAUUGCCGCGGCGGCUGCCGGGCUGAGCGCUCGGCUCGGGCGCUGCCGCCGCUUUUUGGAACGGCUUCCCCCUACCAGGACUGCCGAGCAGGGUCCCUUGGCUCCACCUGCCCCUGAACCCGGAGUGCCUGGAUGCUGGAUGGAGUAAAUGAGCGGAGAAAGAGGGAGCGCACAAAGGCUGAGAGGCGCUCGGAGAGCGGGACCGGGGGAGACAGGCGGGCGGCUGCUGGCUUCCCCCCGCGGGGCUGAAGAUGGAUUCCCCAGCCCUCGGGGCUAUCGCUCUGCUGCUCGCCGGUUUUUGGCACCUGGGAUUGACCGCGACAAAUUGCAGGUGGAAGCCUGGUUGUUGGUGCUGCUGGAUGGACAGAUGAAAGCUUAUUGCAGCCUGCGAACUAUACAGCUAGCUUUAAUAAUAUUAUGUACAUGGCGUUGCUUAUGACAGUGCACAGAAGUCUGCAUAAAUACAUUUUAAAAGUUUCAGUCUCACAGUUUUUUCUGUCUCUAUGUCCUUGCUAUGAAGAAAUGUGUUAAUGGUUAUUUCCAUCCCAAGGAUUAUGCUAGUCUCAUCCUGAGCAUGGGCUAAGCCUCUACAAGACAGGGAGCUUCUUAGGCACUUCCCUGACUUUCUGGCCUGGUUUCCUGGUGGAGAGCUACUGCAUGAUUUCCGUGCUCUAAGAAAGCUACCAAAAAUUUGUUUGGCUUUAUCGUUCAAGAGAGGCACAUAGGCUUGGAACCAGGUAUUAUGGGCUGAAAGCUAGUAUUGUCAGUCACAUUCCUGAGUUCCAAAUGUCCCUAAAAUGAUUGUAACAUCAGACAUUUUAACCAAAACAUUAGAUUUGUUUGCAAAUUAUAAAUUGUUGUCUUCUUGAAUUUUGCAUCUGGUAGCUGGUGCUGCUCCCCAGGGCUUCCUUCAGAAAGGCUGAGCAUCAAAGUCAUCUAUUUACUGCACCAUUAUGUGUUUGGAUUACAAUCUCCUUACACACUCACAUUCAUUAGUGACUGUUUUCAAAAGCCUAGGCUUUUUUAUCCAACUGAUGGAGAUGUGCUUUUCAUCUCUACGUUUGCUCAGGAGCUGCAGUUGGCUUUGCUGGGCAAGGUCAACCCAUAAGAAGGAGGUGUUCUACUUCCUGAAGACCCUGGCAGAAAUGAUAGAAAAGAAGGAUCUUUUCACUACACUAUAAGUAAUUUUCCACUUUAGAAGGAGGUAUCAACCUCUGUGACUCAUCUCAUUUCAAGACAAAUGUAUGCAAUUUCACUUGCUUUGACAGGCUUGAUCCAAACCCCACCAGUUGUCAUUGGGUCUGGACUUCAAUAACUUCUGUGAAUUAAAUAAGGAAGUCCUGAUUUGACAGCCUUUCUCUGAUUACAAGCAGACAGUGAGUCAGAGGUAUAAUAGAACAGAUUUUCUUCCUACCCUCUACAACCCCUAAGCCUUAGUA
rnacentral:lncRNA from 1 species